rnacentral:rRNA from 1 species
GACGAACGCUGGCGGCGUGCUUAACACAUGCAAGUCGAACGGAAAGGCCCUGCUUUUGUGGGGUGCUCGAGUGGCGAACGGGUGAGUAACACGUGAGUAACCUGCCCUUGACUUUGGGAUAACUUCAGGAAACUGGGGCUAAUACCGGAUAGGAGCUCCUGCUGCAUGGUGGGGGUUGGAAAGUUUCGGCGGUUGGGGAUGGACUCGCGGCUUAUCAGCUUGUUGGUGGGGUAGUGGCUUACCACGGGUUUGACGGGUAGCCGGCCUGAGAGGGUGACCGGCCACAUUGGGACUGAGAUACGGCCCAGACUCCUACGGGAGGCAGCAGUGGGGAAUAUUGCACGAUGGGCGGAAGCCUGAUGCAGCAACGCCGCGUGCGGGAUGACGGCCUUCGGGUUGUAAACCGCUUUCGCCUGUGACGAAGCGUGAGUGACGGUAAUGGGUAAAGAAGCACCGGCUAACUACGUG